rnacentral:rRNA from 1 species
GACGAACGCUGGCGGCGUGCUUAACACAUGCAAGUCGAACGGUAAGGCCCUUCGGGGUACACGAGUGGCGAACGGGUGAGUAACACGUGGGUGAUCUGCCCUGCACUUCGGGAUAAGCCUGGGAAACUGGGUCUAAUACCGGAUAGGACCCUGGGAUGCAUGUCCUGGGGUGGAAAGCUUUUGCGGUGUGGGAUGGGCCCGCGGCCUAUCAGCCUGUUGGUGGGGUGAUGGCCUACCAAGGCGACGACGGGUAGCCGGCCUGAGAGGGUGACCGGCCACACUGGGACUGAGAUACGGCCCAGACUCCUACGGGAGGCAGCAGUGGGGAAUAUUGCACAAUGGGCGCAAGCCUGAUGCAGCGACGCCGCGUGAGGGAUGACGGCCUUCGGGUUGUAAACCUCUUUCAGCACCGACGAAGCGCAAGUGACGGUAGGUGCAGAAGAAGGACCGGCCAACUACGUGCCAGCCGCCGCAGUAACAC